AUAAUUUUCACUUUUAUCAUAAAUGAAACGUGAAAUUAGGUUUCACUCUUUGAGAUUAGGAACGCGAAAUUAGGUUGUACUGUUAUCAGAACAGAAUUGUGUGCCGUCACUUUCUUCAUAGUUCCUUUCAUUCUCGCGAAAGAUUUGUGCCCUAGCUUUCACUCGUUCAUCUUCAUUCUCUCAUUCGUCAUAUUAGAUUUUGAAAGGUAUGCUACAAUUUAUCAUGAUUUAUGUAGUGUUUGAGACUCAUCCGUUUUAAUUUCUUAUUGCUUUUAACAAGUUUAAUACCUACAUGGUACAUGGACUUCUCCAAACAUCAAGAAUUUUGUAAGGAGGUGAUCAAUGUUGGGGAUAUUUCUUCGAUGAAAUCAAAAGCAGGUGGUGAUGGAAGCACUUGGCUAUUUAUAAUACUCUUUUGAAUCCUUGUGAUAGGAUUAUGGUUUUGGACCCACCUUCUAGUGUACAUUUGAGUCAUGGUUUUUAUACUGAUGGUGGGAAGAAGGUUUCUGCAGCAUCUAUUUUUUGAGGCUUUGUCUUAUAAGGUUAAUCUUUUGACUGGUUACAAUGAUUAUGAUAAACUUGAGGAGAAAGCAGGGGGAUUAUAGACCUGAAAUUCUUAUCCGUGGUGGUAGUUCUUAUCCUAUAGAAUGGGAAUAUGGAAGGUUUAGAAAGAUUUCUUUGGAGCUGUUUUCAUGUGUGACAUGGUUCAUAUUAGUGGCCUUGUUGCUGCUAAGGUAAAGGAAGUUGUAACCAGAAAAAGCGCAGCAGGAUAGUAAUUCUGAGAUUUCAGUGAGACUGGGGACAAACAUAUCUGAAACUAUAAAAAGGAAGUUGAGCUUAGGGACAAGAAUUCUUCAAAUGGGUGGAGUGG